rnacentral:lncRNA from 1 species
CUAUAAGACUUUGGAGAGGGAGGUAUAUUGCCUUUCCGAUUGUUUGUGUUUUCACAAUGAGACUGCGCAUGCGGCUCUUUUUGUUGGUUCUUUGUUUGAUGUGAAAUUCUAGGCUGUCUUUGUUCUGUGGAAGCUUGGAGGACUUGUUCUUGUUGUUUUCGAAGCUUGGUUGAUUUCAGGUUAGGUUUGAGGAGUUGAUAGGUCAAUCCCCCAAAUAGUUGGUGUUGAUUCUGGAUUGGACAACAGGGAAGAUUCCAAUUCAGUGGUAAGGGAAAAACCAUAUGUGAGUAGAAAAAUGAAUUGAUCUUAGGCUGCUGUGUAAGUUGUGAUACUAAGUCAAUGCAUAGGAAUGUGAGUAUGGAGUAUCUGGGUCAGGGUCUUGGAUAUUCACCAGGGUAAGCAAGUCUAUAGAUUGUGUCACUAGUCUAGGCUCAGAGGUUGUAUAUGUUGUGUGAGUGAACUACCAUCAAGCACACUCACCAGACUGUACAAGUAUACAGAACAGGCAGCCCAGGCUAAGUUGGGAAAUUGCAAAGGAUACAGGAGAGUUAAGGUCCAGAGAACUCACUAAAAUUGCACAUAUGUAUGUCAAAAUUUAUGACCCAAGUUAGAGGUUGGAUAUCUUGGAACUGGUUUGUCAUAAUGAGGAAUGGAAACAUGUCUUGAAGUUUCUACGUAGGCAAAUGGGUGACAAGCUGAUUACCCUGGUGACAGAGUAGUUUCCAUCACUUAGAUAAAUUCAUUAGCUCAACAUGCAACUAAAUAGAUAUCUCAAAAACAUUACUGAUGUGUGUGUGUGUGUGUGUGUGUGUGUGUGUACACUUUAGCACAAACACAUGCUGUGUAUUUACUUAAGUAUUUCAUUUACAGUUAUAUAUCUCUAAAUGAUGGGGAUGUGUUCUGAAAAAUGUGUCAUUAGGCAAUUUUUUCCAUUGUACCAUUUACUAUAGAGUGUACUUGCACAAACUAAUGUAUCUACAAAAUCUUUAGGCAAUAAAACUAUGUAGACAGCAUCAUACAUGUGAGUCUCACUCAGCAAAACAUCCUGUGGAACCCAUAACUAUAGGUAUGUAUGUAUGUAUGUAUGUAUGUAUGUAUGUGUAUAUGUGCAUGCAUAUACAUACAUAUACAUGUUUUUAAUGCCAUGGUUGUUAUAAUGAAUGUGCAUAUCAUGCAAGGGAAGGUCGCCCACCCUAAGAGAGUUGAGAGUGAACAAAGAGGCACAGGAAAGUCAUCAGUGCUACCUAAAAUAGAUAAUUUCUUAACAAAAACGGCUAUACGGUUUGGGUAGGCAGCAUCUCCUACAGGCUCACAUGCUGGGAGUUUGGUCCAGACUCCAGGUGCUACAGAGAGGCAAGAAGCUCAGGUGGUGCUAAUUUCAUUAGUGUAUCAAUCUAUUGGUGAAGUCCUGUUAUAGGAGGACAUGGAGGUGUAGUUCGAUGGAGUUGUCACUAAGGAUGUGCCUUGAGAGUAUAUUUUGUUCCAAGUCCCUUGGACACCCUGCUUUCUACAGCUCUGAUGCAACAUGUGCCUCCUGCCAUGAUGUUCUACCUUACCGUGAGUCCCAAACCAAUGGAGCCAGCCGACCAUAGACUAGAGAUGAGUACAAAUGAACUUUUUCCUUUUCAAACUACUUAUCUUGGGUAUUUUGUCACUAGUAAAACACUGCAACUAAGCCAAAGCUUGGAGUAAAUAUGAUAGAAUACCUGCAUCUGCUGCAUCUUUAUAGAAAGUAUGUAGCUGAGUGUUACAUUUUCUGACUCUCUCUAAUCUUUGAAAUAUGUGUUAUUUCUUUUGUGUGUGUGUGUUUUAGUGAACAGGAGAAAUUGAUAUGUCUAACUAAACUAACAUUAGGCUCCCUAUACUGGUCCUAGCUGGGACCACCUGGAAUAAAUUCUCUUCUCCUCCCACACUAUGUUUUCUUAGACAGUGGGAACAUACCAAAUAGUCUCCCUGUCACCUUGCAGCUGUCACCAUCCAAAGGCUUGUAUUCUGGCUGGGUUGCAUUCAGACAUACAGCCUCUGUUCUCUAACCCUCCUAUCACUGAAUCAUUCAAUAUUUGCAGAAUGUCUGCUAUGUGAAUACUAAUAUUCUUGGCCUCUGAGCUCUUUGUCUAGGGAAAGAAGCGUGUACAAAACCAGAUAGUUACAGCACAGUGUCUUCACUGAAGAGUGUGAUCAAACAACCUCCGACCAAAGAGAAGAUGAUGAAGAAAAGGCCAAGCAUCGAAGAAAAUCAGGGCGAAAGAUGACUCCCCCCCCGUUUUGUUUUGUUUUGUUUUGUUGUUUUGUUUUGUUUAGAAACAGGGCCUCAUUAUGUAACUCUGGCUGUCCUGGAACUCACUGUGUAGAGCAGGCUUGUAUUGAAGGUAUGUGCCACUAUGCCCAACAUCCUCUUUAAGUGUGGAUUAGGGCACUUCUUGAAGGAGAACACAAGACAAGUACCCAGGCCGAGGAAUCACAACCUAGAGAUGAAUGAGUCACUGAUGAAUGGGGAUGGGGCAUGGGAUUGGCAUAAGAGAGGACAUGCCAUGGGGACACUGUAGGUGGAUGGAUCUCCUUGUCACCUAUACUGCUGUCUUAACCUGAGUAUCUCUGGUUGUAUACACUCUAUUCUGGACUUGUUCAUAGCACAUGUUAAAAAUAGAUGAACAUGAAGGCAGCUAUAGCAUCUCUAGGUAAUGUAGCAUGUAGUUUCUACUAUCCCACUUUAAGAUCCAGGAAGACCACUCUACCAGCCACAGCCUGUUCCAUAUUCCCUGUUGAUCGCAUGUGCACACCUGCCCAGGAGCAAAUGCAGAUGAAACACACACACACACACACACACACACACAUUAACUUACUUUUAAUACACUUUGUAGCUCAAUGGCCAGAUCCUUCUAAGCCUCCCAUGGUUAACAUGCCCUUACCUUCACUCCUAGCCCAACACCUCAACAUAGUUGCUCAGUUACCUUUAGUCCUAGCUCAACACCCCUAAAUCUCCCCUCAGCUUAGGUAGAACUCUACCCAAGAUCUCACAUGGCUGGUGGCUUUCUCUCUCUGAAGCAUAGCAAAUAUCAUUUGUCCUUCUGCAUCUGCCGGCUGGCCUGUGUGAAACUGGAAGUCUUGCCUCUCCUGCCACCCAGUCAUUAGCCACUAGCAUCCUUAUUGAUCGAUCAAGAACCAGUCGGGGAAAAGGAACCUUAGCAUUCAUUCUCUAUCAGAGUGUCAGAAGCACCUCCUACAAGGUAAUAUGAUGACUGUUUUGAAAGCCACAUGGAAAGAUCUUCAGGAGACAGUGGUCGAAUAGGCUGCUGAGGAUACAGAGAAUUGCUGCUAUAUCCUGUACAGUAAGGUGCAUUUUUAAUAAGGAAAUUAAUCUAACAAGCAAUCCCUUAACCUUCAGUGAUGUGGUGCUUCAGUGGCUUGAUCAGCCCACCAAAGUGUAUCUGGCUGCCCAUCAAUCUUCCUUGAGUGUCCAGGAACCAGGUUCCUUUACUGAUGUGGCUCCUUUCUGUUGGGUUCUCAACUUCCAAUCUUACUAUACUCACCUACAUACACUAAUCACAAUCAGUAGAGCUGGAUACACAAACAUGGGGGCUUGUUUGGGUCUUGAAAAGGCUCGUCUCACUUCAGCUCACAUACUAAUACAUCAUCAGUAAGCAACCUGUGGGUUACCAACCCUCCGGGGGUCAAAUAACCCUUUCACCAUUGGAAAACACAGAUAUUUGCAUUAUGCUUCAAAACAACUCUACCAGACCUGACAAAUACAGCGUAGAUGCUCACAGCCAACCAUUAGACUGAGCACAGGGUCCCCAAUGGAGGAGUUAGAGAAAGGACUGAAGGAGCUGAAGGGGUUUGCAACCCCAUAGGAAGAACAAGAAUAUCAAUGGCAAAGGAGUAUCUGGGUAAUUGUGGGGGGAGGAAUACCACAAAAAUCACACCACACAACAAACCCCACACAAGAGAUUUAUUGAGGGGGGGGACACAAAUUGGCUGCUUUUAAGCAGGGAUGGAGACAUUGACAGGCCAGGCCACGAUGGCAGGUUUUAUACGGGAUAUGGUGCAUUCACACAGGGGAAAUAUGACAAAUCAUGGAAGCAUCACAAUGGCCGUUAGUGAUGGUGGGGCAUUGGCACAGAGUCUUUGGAGGCAGGAUAGGAGGUGGAGGAUGGGGAAUCUCCAAGGAACCAGAUUUUGGAACAUAGGCAAAUUACUUUUUGUGAUUGUUAGUAUGCCCAACACAUGCUAUGGAGAUAGGAGGACUAAUUACUCCCUUAAUGAGAUAAUGUGCUUAUCCUUUCCAGGAGCACCUACAUCCUUUGAGGCAGUUGAUCACAGACCUUCAUGCUAAGCCUUCCCACUUUUCUGAGUUCUAACACAAAAACACUGCUUUUUCUCUUCUCGUUUCUCUCUUUUCUUUGGAUACUGAACAAAUUAUUUUGCAUGCUUGCCUUGGUACCAGGGGCUUUCCACUUUCUCUAAAGAACCCAGAUCCCACAUUACAGUUGCCUGCAGACCUCCGUUGUUGACUCUAAUUCAAGUGGAAUAACUUUCUCUUUUUCUCUUUGCCACCUCCCUCCUCCUGGCAGCCUCUGGCAUUUACAGCUUGCUUGGCUUUUGGCUUUUCUCUCAAACACUAAUAAAAUGGUCAUAGAGCUUCCUUCUGAGACCAUUUUUUAAUUUUUUUUUUAUCAAUGAAACUAAGACCAUGCAAAUGGAAAUUGAUUCACCAGUAACAUGACUUUUGCUCCAUUCUUUGAGUCACAAAAAUCCUAGAUAGCCUGAGACACCUCUCCAGUAAUCAAAAGGUCUUGGCCUUGGGCUUCCCUUGCUAAAGUAAUAGUGGAUUAAUUUUCCUUUUGAUGAAUUAAUGUCCCUUUUCCCUGUUAGAAUCACACCGCCCCUGCCCCAGCACAGUCUCUGUGAACCAGCAUGGGGAUUAGCUUGGUCCAUUCACCUUCCUGAGGCCUUAGCCAGAAAGGUACACGUUCUUUUUCAUUUUUUGACAUUGAGAACCCAAGAGGGGCUCUGAAUUACAUGGUAUCUUUUGGUGACCUCAAAAGGACUCCCCCCAAUUCAGGCAACAUCUUAACACAUGCCUUCUCAGAAUUUGUCAAUACACUGUUGUUACUAAAAUUCUUUCCCUGGCAGAGAGCAAUAUCUACCCCUCCUCCUGGUGUCCUCAUGACAAACCAAAGCAUGAUUCCACCAAAGAUCACCCCUGCUUAACAAACUUAUUAGCCUUCCUUACAGAGCAAUGAAUGAGGGAUUAGAAAUAGUAGUAUAGCUGACUCUAAAGUAACAACCCUGAAAGGUUUCCACUGAGCAGGGAUGGUAGCUUCUCCAUGGUUGCGUAGCUUCGACCUGUAUCCUUCUUCCUUCCCCAUGUAUAACCCAGACCUUCUCCCAUACAAGCAUGUGCCCCUUAGGGCAGAAUUGCAUACAGCUGGUUGGGAGGGAUGGUUUCAUGGCUCCAUUCUACCUUCUAGGAGGGAAGAUAGUCAACAGGCCCAGCUGUGGUGACUUUUUCCCAGCAGUCCCAUCAGAACACCUGAAGAUGGUGGCAGCUCAGCUUAAAGGACAGUACUUUACCACAAUGGUGCUUCCACACAUUUUGCAGUACUGCUUGCCAAAUCUUAUGACCCUAGAGAGUAAUUGCUGUGCAUCUCCUGCUGAAUAACUCUCCUUUUCAAUGUGAAAAUCACGAGGUCCAGAGACCAUGUAUGAUGUAUAACACUUGCUAUAACACUUGAUUAUUAACACACACCUUGAGCCUGGACCUCCCACCUCUAGAUUCAGUGAUGUCUCUGCCACAGUCAUGCUUCAAAAACGUGAUUAUCAGACAAGUAGGGAACAGGAGAUGACUCAAGGUGUAGAGUGGAAAGGACCAAACUAUUACAUCACUUGAGGCAAAUCCUCCCCCUCUCUUCUCCCAGGAAACCAAGCUGAGAUACAGAAGUGUAUGUUUUAAAAAAAAAUAUGUCUGGGACUUCAACAGUAAGGGUUUUCCCUGUGUGAAGUGCUUGGCCUUUGCCAGAUGCCCUGUGGAGUGUGGUGGAGCAGGGGGUGGGGGGUGGGGGCUUUGAUAUGUUAAUUAAUGUUUCUUCUUUCCUUUUUUAUUCCCAUAAAUAUUCACAAAGAGACUGGGUGGUCAUCAGGUUGACUCAGAGAGAGGGUAUCUCAUUUCUGAACCCCAAAACUCAAAGGCAUUCUGGUACUCUAGAUGAAGAAUGAGGUAAGCACUUCUCAGAAUUCCUGCUUUGGAGCACAUGAAGAUACAUUCCCACAGAUAAGGCUGCAGGAGGAAAUUAAAAAGGCAAGAAAAUUUGCUUUGUUGAAUCAACAAGAAGGGGCUGUGUGCCUAUGCCCUUCUCCCAAGGCCAAGUACAGCAUAGAGAUGUACUUGGAGGAGAUGAAUCCUGAGAUAGAGUGGGGAACUCUAUAAAAGAGUCUCCCAUCUUGGAACCUGAGUCUCCAAAUAUAUCAGGACCCCAGAAUGUAAGCAAUAAGUAAGAGUCUAGCAGAGAAGUGGUCUACGUGCAGGCUGUGGAGGGGACCCUGAGAUGGACUCAUAGAGAGGGCCCUGCAUGGGGAAGGCAUGAAGACAUGUAAACAAAAUAAAAGAUAAAAUACUGUACAAGGAGAGAAAGUAGUGAUCCAGAUGGAUUGAGAGCAAGAGAGAGGGACCCAACAAUUUGACAGGGGCAACCAAAUGAGGCAGACACUAAUACCAUGGCCAAAUGCCCUCCUCCAGUCCCACUACCAUGACUGGACAGAGGGUAACAGCUUGUGCCCUCGAAAUCCUGGCAAGGCUACCCAUCCUCAACAAGCCAAUUAAAAUAGCCAAAUGGAUGGGGAAAAGCAGAUGUGUGGCCACAUCAGGAGAAGAGAGAAAGAUAGUUACCUCUCCAAAUCCAUUUUCAGGGUCUUAACUAAGCAGCCAGAAGCAAGAUGUGGUACCUACUACUCCAAGGCUCUCUUGCAUGGUAGCCUGACAAGCUCCUCAUCUGGCUACCAGGACCUCAGCCUUUUCAGUAACAACCAGUGAAUACAGGGUGUCAUGCCCCACAUGACUUGGUCCUGGAAACCUGACUUGGAUGAAGAAAGAAAACAGGACAGAUCCAGGGACACAACGCUGGAUGGAAACACAUCACCAACCACAACCAGGGACUCGGCAGCUU